UCGGCCGGGUGGGCCGGGCCUGCCGGGGCUCCCUGGGCUCCCGGCCCCGGAACCGACGCCCCGGCGGGGCUCGCGUUCCUCGCGCCGCCUCCCGGGC
rnacentral:tRNA from 1 species